UUAAAUUGAAGAGUUUGAUCAUGGCUCAGAUUGAACGCUGGCGGCAGGCCUAACACAUGCAAGUCGAACGGUAACAGGAAGCAGCUUGCUGUUUCGCUGACGAGUGGCGGACGGGUGAGUAAUGUCUGGG
rnacentral:rRNA from 2 species